rnacentral:rRNA from 1 species
GAUGAACGCUGGCGGCGUGCCUAAUACAUGCAAGUCGAGCGAACGGACGAGAAGCUUGCUUCUCUGAUGUUAGCGGCGGACGGGUGAGUAACACGUGGAUAACCUACCUAUAAGACUGGGAUAACUUCGGGAAACCGUAGCUAAUACCGGAUAAUAUUUUGAACCGCAUGGUUCAAAAGUGAAAGACGGUCUUGCUGUCACUUAUAGAUGGAUCCGCGCUGCAUUAGCUAGUUGGUAAGGUAACGGCUUACCAAGGCAACGAUGCAUAGCCGACCUGAGAGGGUGAUCGGCCACACUGGAACUGAGACACGGUCCAGACUCCUACGGGAGGCAGCAGUAGGGAAUCUUCCGCAAUGGGCGAAAGCCUGACGGAGCAACGCCGCGUGAGUGAUGAAGGUCUUCGGAUCGUAAAACUCUGUUAUUAGGGAAGAACAUAUGUGUAAGUAACUGUGCACAUCUUGACGGUACCUAAUCAGAAAGCCACGGCUAACUACGUGCCAGCAGCCGCGGUAAUACGUAGGUGGCAAGCGUUAUCCGGAAUUAUUGGGCGUAAAGCGCGCGUAGGCGGUUUUUUAAGUCUGAUGUGAAAGCCCACGGCUCAACCGUGGAGGGUCAUUGGAAACUGGAAAACUUGAGUGCAGAAGAGGAAAGUGGAAUUCCAUGUGUAGCGGUGAAAUGCGCAGAGAUAUGGAGGAACACCAGUGGCGAAGGCGACUUUCUGGUCUGUAACUGACGCUGAUGUGCGAAAGCGUGGGGAUCAAACAGGAUUAGAUACCCUGGUAGUCCACGCCGUAAACGAUGAGUGCUAAGUGUUAGGGGGUUUCCGCCCCUUAGUGCUGCAGCUAACGCAUUAAGCACUCCGCCUGGGGAGUACGACCGCAAGGUUGAAACUCAAAGGAAUUGACGGGGACCCGCACAAGCGGUGGAGCAUGUGGUUUAAUUCGAAGCAACGCGAAGAACCUUACCAAAUCUUGACAUCCUUUGACAACUCUAGAGAUAGAGCCUUCCCCUUCGGGGGACAAAGUGACAGGUGGUGCAUGGUUGUCGUCAGCUCGUGUCGUGAGAUGUUGGGUUAAGUCCCGCAACGAGCGCAACCCUUAAGCUUAGUUGCCAUCAUUAAGUUGGGCACCCUAAGUUGACUGCCGGUGACAAACCGGAGGAAGGUGGGGAUGACGUCAAAUCAUCAUGCCCCUUAUGAUUUGGGCUACACACGUGCUACAAUGGACAAUACAAAGGGCAGCGAAACCGCGAGGUCAAGCAAAUCCCAUAAAGUUGUUCUCAGUUCGGAUUGUAGUCUGCAACUCGACUACAUGAAGCUGGAAUCGCUAGUAAUCGUAGAUCAGCAUGCUACGGUGAAUACGUUCCCGGGUCU